rnacentral:rRNA from 1 species
GUGGGGAAUUUUGGACAAUGGGCGAAAGCCUGAUCCAGCCAUGCCGCGUGCAGGAUGAAGGCCUUCGGGUUGUAAACUGCUUUUGUACGGAACGAAAAGACUCCUUCUAAUAAAGGGGGUCCAUGACGGUACCGUAAGAAUAAGCACCGGCUAACUACGUGCCAGCAGCCGCGGUAAUACGUAGGGUGCAAGCGUUAAUCGGAAUUACUUGGCGUAAAGCGUGCGCAGGCGGUUAUAUAAGACAGAUGUGAAAUCCCCGGGCUCAACCUGGGAACUGCAUUUGUGACUGUAUAGCUAGAGUACGGUAGAGGGGGAUGGAAUUCCGCGUGUAGCAGUGAAAUGCGUAGAUAUGCGGAGGAACACCGAUGGCGAAGGCAAUCCCCUGGACCUGUACUGACGCUCAUGCACGAAAGCGUGGGGAGCAAACAGGAUUAGAAACCCUUGUAGUCC